rnacentral:rRNA from 1 species
ACGUAUGUCACAAGCGUUAUCCGGAUUUAUUGGGCGUAAAGCGCGUCUAGGUGGUUAUGUAAGUCUGAUGUGAAAAUGCAGGGCUCAACUCUGUAUUGCGUUGGAAACUGUGUAACUAGAGUACUGGAGAGGUAAGCGGAACUACAAGUGUAGAGGUGAAAUUCGUAGAUAUUUGUAGGAAUGCCGAUGGGGAAGCCAGCUUACUGGACAGAUACUGACGCUAAAGCGCGAAAGCGUGGGUAGCAAACAG